ACGAGGGGCCCGAGCGUUAAUCGGAAUCACUGGGCUUAAAGGGUGCGCAGGCUGACCCGAAAGCGUCUUGUGAAAGCCCCCGGCUCAACCGGGGAACAGCGGGGCGAACUUCGGGUCUUGAGGCAGGUAGGGGCGGAUGGAACUGUCGGUGGAGCGGUGGAAUGCGUAGAUAUCCAUGGGAACGCCGAUGGCGAAGGCAGCUGGCUGGGCCUGUCCUGACGCUCAGGCACGAAAGCGUGGGGAGCAAACGG
rnacentral:rRNA from 1 species